rnacentral:lncRNA from 1 species
GACUUAAGUGUUAUCUUAGGCGUUUCCUUAGUAUAAGGAGUUUUAUGCAUACCACUUAAGUUUUGUGGGCGUGACUAAAAACAACUAAGAUUUUACUUAUGAAAUACUUAGUUUAAGAUUUUUUAUGCAUACCACUUAGAUAAAAAGGGCGGAGUUUCCUUAACUUAAGUGUUUACUAAGGAAAAUCUUAACUUAAGUAGCUUUAUGCAUACGGGCCCAGGUG